rnacentral:rRNA from 1 species
AUUUCAAUUACUCAUUCCCUCUUCUACUAUGCAGGUAACCUAGGGGAUUGGGCGUUUUUGCGGUGUGUGGAGGACGAGGCCAGUCGUAGAUUUCCGUUGUUGUUUGCAAAGGCAUAAAGAUGUUGAUGUUUUCACUUUUUUUUUUUUUUCAUGGGUACCCCUUGACUCGUUUGUUUUAUUUUUCUGCUGAGUUUAUCUUUAAGGACUUUAGUCGAGUUCCGACUUUGUAAAAUAAAUAAAUUAUGUUUGUUUUAAUAAAAUCCCCGUGGAACGCUGAUAUUUGAGUUUAGUCCGAACUUAACACAACUCUUGACCGAGGUACGGGUUGGCAAGCCUUAGGCCGAGGUUGAGAGGGACGGUACAGUGGUCGGACUGGUCGAGACUUUGAAUUUGUUUUGAAGUCUUAGCUGGUACGACUGCGGUACUGUCAACCCUUGUAACGCUUCCGGGACGUUCCGGGUUGGUCCAGCCUAGGACGGCCCGGGGGUGUUACCGUCGGGGGCAUUCGUAUUUCAUAGUCAGAGGUGAAAUUCUUGGAUUUAUGAAAGAUGAACAACUGCGAAAGCAUUUGCCAAGGAUGUUUUCAUUAAUCAAGAACGAAAGUUGGGGGCUCGAAGACGAUCAGAUACCGUCCUAGUCUUAACCAUAAACGAUGCCGACCAGGGAUCAGCGGAUGUUGCUUUUUAGGACUCCGCUGGCACCUUAUGAGAAAUAAAAGUUUUUGGGUUACGGGGGGAGUAUGGUCGCAAGGCUGAAACUUAAAGGAAUUGACGGAAGGGCACCAUCAGGAGUGGAGCCUACGGCUUAAUUUGACUCAACACGGGGAAACUUACCAGGUCCAAACAUAGUAAGGAUUGACAGACUGAGAGCUCUUUAUUGAUUCUAUGGGUGGUGGUGCAUGGCUGUUCUUAGCUGGUGGAGCGAUUUGUCUGGUUAAUUCCGGUAACGAACGAGAUCUCAGCCUGCUAACUAGCUACAUGGAGGCAUCCCUUCACGGUCGGCUUCCUAGAGGGACUAUGGCCGUUUAGGCCAAGGAAGUUUGAGGCAAUAACAGGUCUGUGAUGCAUUUAGAUGUUCUGGGCCGCACGCGUGCUACACUGAUAUAAUCCACGAGUUCACACCUUGACCCACAGGCCCGGGUAAUCUUUGAAAUUUCAUCGUGAUGGGGAUAGAUCAUUGCAAUUGUUGGUCUUCAACGAGGAAUUCCUAGUAAAGCGAAGUCAUCAGCUCCCAUUAACUACGCCCCUGCCCUUUGUACACACCGCCCGUCGCUCCUACCAAUUGAAUGAUCCGGUGAAGUGUUCGGAUCGCGGCGACGUGGGUGGUGUAACACCCCGAUCCGUCCGACAAGGCCGUGGUCGAAGCCUUACAUCACUCGGUCCACUUCCUGGCUGAACCUCUUAA